rnacentral:rRNA from 1 species
CAAUAGCGUAUACUAAAGUUGUUGCAGUUAAAAGCUCGUAGUUGAAUUUCUGGUCGCGAAAGGUGGUCCGUUCCUCACGGAAUGUGUACUGUCCAUUCGUGUCCAUUCUCGGAGUUAGUUUGUAUUACCUUCAUCGGUCGUGCAUACAACCUUCGUCAUUUACUGUGAGCAAAAUAGAGUGUUCAAAGCAGGCUUAUGCCGUUGAAUAUAUUAGCAUGGAAUAAUAAGAUAUGACUUUGGUCUAUUUUGUUUGGUUUGUCACUCCAAAGUAAAUGAUUAAUAGGGAUAGUUGGGGGUAGUUCGUAUUCUAAUUAGUCAGAGGU